CAUAGAUUAUUUUGCACUUCAUUUCUGAAGUUUAUAAAAAAAGAGGAGAUUCCUACCUCUUAAUAAAGUAUACAGAUCUAAUUUCUGAUUAGGGAUACAGUUUCCUCCAUUGAAACAACAGAUUAACAGUAACUCUUGUAGGUUGUGUCUAAUGUCCUCCCUGUGUUGGCGAUGACCCAGGCAAUUAGCAUUCCAGGUGAUAAAGAAGCAUUUCCAUAGUGGAAUGUCUCGCUGCGGAGGAGCGGGGUCACUCUGAGCGUGAUCAUAAGAUUAUCCUCAGAAAUGAAGGAUCAAUUGCAGUUUCUAUUAUGCUAGAGUCAAAGUUCUCGAAUUUACUGUAGAGUAUGACUCAGACAACAAACCAUUCCAAGAGACAGUUAAACCUAUGGUAGAUGGUGGAACAGAAGGUUUCGAAGGUUAUGCUAGAGUCAUUAUGCCAAGGAUAACACCUUGUUUUGAGCGCAACAUAUGGAUUUUCUCUCCCUAUAUAAAUUUUCCAUUAUGUACCUUCGCCAAGACUUAGAGUACUGCUGCUCAUUGCAUUGAGUAUGCUCGUUUCAUCAAAUGGGACAAGAACAUAUGCAGUGGAUUUAUUCAGAGGUACAACAAACGUUUUCUAUUUUUUUGAUCUUCAAUUUAUAUCACUCAACUAAUGGACCUAAGAUCAUAUAGAUCGCAUCUGCAAUGUUGAGCCACGACUGGAGGUGCAGUGGUGGGGUUCGCCGUGGUCGGUCAGUCCCUGGCAAGAUGUCAACACUGGCGAU